UACGUAGGGGGCAAGCGUUGUCCGGAAUCAUUGGGCGUAAAGAGCGUGUAGGCGGCCAGAAAAGUCCGCUGUGAAAACUCGAGGCUCAACUUCGAGCUGUCGGUGGAAACUUUCUGGCUAGAGUCCGGAAGAGGAGAAUGGAAUUCCUGGUGUAGCGGUGAAAUGCGCAGAUAUCUGGAGGAACAUCAGUGGCGAAGGCGACACCCUGGACUCAUACUGACACUGAGGUGCGAAAGCGUGGGGAGCAAACAGG
rnacentral:rRNA from 1 species